CUGCAGCAUCAUUCUUUGCCGCAAUUUCUUGGUUUUGAUCCCCUGUAAUUUCCAAACCCAGCUCGGAUUCUAAGUGACGAAGCCACUCCCUGUGAUCGACUUCAUCGAUGUUAUGUGCAUCUUGGGGGCUUGAGGCCACUUAAGUGUGCUAAAUGAAUAGGAGGAACAUGAACUUAAGGAUGAUAAUUCCUUUGAUUCCCGGUCCGUACUAGCAUCUUUUGACGCCAAUUUUUUCUUCAAAUGCGUGUUCCACACAUUUUUAAUCUCAUUAUCUGUUCUUCCUGGCAAAUGAGACGCAAUUUUCGACCACCUGGAAAAUCAAUUUGCUACAUGUUGUCAGGCCAAGGCGAUUCACUGAAAGCAAAAUUAGUUAACACAGGUUUCUGCAGCACGCUUACUUAUUCCCCAGAGUCUGAUGUAACUUCAUUAUUGUCUCCUCUUCCUCUGCAGAGAAAUUUCCUCUCUUCACAUCAGGCCUCAGGUAAUUAAUCCAUCGCAGACGGCAACUUUUACCGCAACGUAACAAUCCUAUGAAAACAAAGAUAACCAAUGAGAACCGAAUCUAUCUUUGUCCAAGCACAAAAAAUAAACGCAUUCUGCAGUCCUUGUCAUUGAAGUCCACAUUGUCUACCUUUAUUGUUUUAUACAUAAUUUUAGUGCCUAAUUGCUUUGAAAAAUUGCCUUAAACUCAAUCAUUUGCACACUAUUUUCUUCUCCAAAUUGAAUACCAUUCUAGUUUGAAUGGGAUGAGGAUAAAGCUCUGUAUAUAAGCCAGAAGAACAAGGCUCGUGGCAUUGCAAUGUGGUUUUAGUCAUUGGUCAUAAAAAAAAUUGGCAAUCUUUUAAUUUUUUCACUUACAAAAAAUGGUAUAUACAGUGUACUACAGUUAAAUUUUCCACAUAAAGAGAGGAUUUUUUUAACAGACCA